CGGAGUGAUCACAGAAGCUCCUUUGCUGAGGCGCCGACAACACCUUCCGUCAUGGCUAGCAAGUUCCUGGUACUGGUAGUGCUGGCCCUCGUGACUGUGAGCACCGCCCACCCUCACACCACCCACUCCCACUCCCACGUCGACACCCACGCCCACCACCCCCUCUAUCCUUACUACCCGGGCUACCACCAUCCUCACUACUACUACUACAACUAUGGCUAUCCCUACCACCACUACCCGCGUUCCUACAGUCACGUUAAAAUCAACAAGGCAGCCUAAGUCACGGAUAAGGCUUCACGAGGCUUCUGGAGGCUUCGCAACAUCUCAAAUGCCUUCAGACGACUUAAGAGGGAGGUUUCAAAGGACUUCGAAAUGCUUCAAGAGGUUUCAGAGGACUCAGAUAGAUUCAAGAGGCUUUAGGAGACUUCGCGAGGCCUCAGAGACCUAGGAGGCUUCACGAGACCUCAGAGGGACCUAGGAGGCUUCACGAAACCUCAGGGGGACCUAUGAGGCUUCACGAGACCUCAGAGGGACCUAGGAGGCUUCACGAGACCUCAGGGGGACCUAUGAGGCUUCACGAGACCUCAGUGGGACCUAGGAGGCUUCACGAGACCUCAGAGGGACCUAGGAGGCUUCACGAGAUCUCAGAGGGACAUAGGAGGCUUCACGAGACCUCAGAAGGACCUAGGAGGCUUCACGAAUCUACAUUAAAACCUUCAUGGUCGAUCACAUCUCUCGUAUAAUAGCUCAAAAUAUUCACCAUCCUGUCAACAACAAUAAAAGACAUCGUUCUGUUCUCUUAUUUUUGUUUUUCAUUCACUCUAGGAAUUUCUGACAUUCGUAUUUUGUUUUUGUUUAUCCAAUGACUAACCUAACCUAACCUAACUAGAGGUAUAGUCAUUUACUGGUUAGUUUUCUUCUACGUAGUGUCGUAUAAGUUGAGUAGUGGAGAGGGUGUGGGCAACGUAACACCGGGGGACAGGACUCAAGCGUGUGUGUGUGACCAUCGUGGAGGUGAGAUGAGGAUGAGGUGUUAUGCUCUAAUGUAAUGUGGUCAGCAGAUCAGAUUAUGACCAGUGUAUAGAGUGAGUGAUGGAGUCCUUAGAAACGAAAGCACCAACGCACUUAACCCCUGGAACUGUGUGUGAGGGAGUCCACGCACUCUACCCCUGGAGCUGUGUGGUAGGGAGCCCACACACACUACCCUUGGAACAGUAUUUGAGAGAUGCCCACGCACUCUACCUGGAGCUAUGUGAGAGGGAGCCCACGCUUUCACAACCACACUCUUCUUAGGGGAAUGAGAAGCACCAAUAAAAAAAUUACUUUCAA